rnacentral:rRNA from 1 species
AUUGAACGCUGGCGGCGUGCUUAACACAUGCAAGUCGAACGGUGAAGCCCUUCGGGGUGGAGCAGUGGCGAACGGGUGAGUAACACGUGGGCAAUCUGCCCUGCACUCUGGGACAAGCCCUAGAAACGGGGUCUAAUACCGGAUAUGACCACAGGGGGCAUCUUCUGUGGUGGAAAGCUCCGGCGGUGUGGGAUGAGCUCGCGGCCUAUCAGCUUGUUGGUGGGGUGAUGGCCUACCAAGGCGACGACGGGUAGCCGGCCUGAGAGGGCGACCGGCCACACUGGGACUGAGACACGGCCCAGACUCCUACGGGAGGCAGCAGUGGGGAAUAUUGCACAAUGGGCGCAAGCCUGAUGCAGCGACGCCGCGUGAGGGAUGACGGCCUUCGGGUUGUAAACCUCUUUCAGCAGGGAAGAAGCGUGAGUGACGGUACCUGCAGAAGAAGCACCGGCUAACUACGUGCCAGCAGCCGCGGUAAUACGUAGGGUGCGAGCGUUGUCCGGAAUUAUUGGGCGUAAAGAGCUCGUAGGCGGCUUGUCGCGUCGGAUGUGAAAGCCCGGGGCUUAACUCCGGGUCUGCAUUCGAUACGGGCAGGCUAGAGUUCGGUAGGGGAGAUCGGAAUUCCUGGUGUAGCGGUGAAAUGCGCAGAUAUCAGGAGGAACACCGGUGGCGAAGGCGGAUCUCUGGGCCGAUACUGACGCUGAGGAGCGAAAGCGUGGGGAGCGAACAGGAUUAGAUACCCUGGUAGUCCACGCCGUAAACGUUGGGAACUAGGUGUGGGGGGGUGUCGACUCCCUCCGUGCCGAAGCUAACGCAUUAAGUGCC